GACGAACGCUGGCGGCGUGCUUAACACAUGCAAGUCGAACGGAAAGGCCCUGCUUUUGUGGGGUGCUCGAGUGGCGAACGGGUGAGUAACACGUGAGUAACCUGCCCUUGACUUUGGGAUAACUCCAGGAAACUGGGGCUAAUAUCGGAUAGGAGCUCCUGCUGCAUGGUGGGGGUUGGAAAGUUUCGGCGGUUGGGGCUGGACUCGCGGCUUAUCAGCUUGUUGGUCGGGUAGUGGAUUACCAAGGCUUUGACGGGUAGCCGGCCUGAGAGGUUGAACGGCGACAUGGGGACUACGAGACGGCGCAGUCGCCUACGGGAGGCAGCAGGGGAGAAUAUUGCACAAUGGGCGGAAGCCUGAUACGGCAACGCCGCGUGCGGGAUGACGGCCUUCGAGUUGUGAACCGCUUUCGCCUUUGACGAAGCGGGAGUGACGGUAAUUGGUAAAGAAGCACCGGCUAACUACGUG
rnacentral:rRNA from 1 species